UCAAACCUACGGGACGCAGCAGUGGGGGAUAUUGCACAAUGGGGGAAACCCUGAUGCAGCGACGCCGCGUGGGCGAAGAAGUAUUUCGGUAUGUAAAGCCCUAUCAGCAGGGAAGAAGAAAUGACGGUACCUGAGUAAGAAGCACCGGCUAAAUACGUGCCAGCAGCCGCGGUAAUACGUAUGGUGCAAGCGUUAUCCGGAUUUACUGGGUGUAAAGGGAGCGUAGACGGUUCUGCAAGUCUGAAGUGAAAGCCCGUGGCUUAACCGCGGAACGGCUUUGGAAACUGCGGAACUGGAGAGCUGGG
rnacentral:rRNA from 1 species